GACGAACGCUGGCGGCGUGCCUAAUACAUGCAAGUCGAACGCAGUGGGGACGGGUGAGUAACACGUGGGUAACCUCCCAUCAGAGGGGAUAACACUUGGAAACAGGUGCUAAACCGAUAUUGGUGGAUGGACCCGCGGUGCAUUGGCUAGUUGGUGAGGUAACGGCUCACCAAGGCCACGAUGCAUAGCGGACCCGAGAGGGUGAUCGGCCACACUGGGACUGAGACACGGUCCAGACUCCGACGGGAGGCAGCAGUGGGGAAUAUUGCACAAUGGGCGCAAGCCUGAUGCAGCCAUGCCGCGUGUAUGAAGAAGGCCUUCGGGUUGUAAAGUACUUUCAGCGGGGAGGCGUUACCCGCAGAAGAAGCACCGGCUAACUCCGUGCCAGCAGCCGCGGUAAUAC
rnacentral:rRNA from 1 species